rnacentral:tRNA from 1 species
GGCGGGGUAGCUCAGUCGGUUAGAGCAGCGGAUUCAUAGCCCGCAGGUCGGAGGUUCGAGUCCUCUCCCCGCUA